rfam:Haemonchus placei strain MHpl1 genome assembly, scaffold: HPLM_scaffold0004984
GGCCCAAAUUUGAAGUACAGUAGAUUAGUAGGGUUAGAUGAUACUACUAAUCUACUCUACUUCAAAUUUGGGCCC